rnacentral:tRNA from 1 species
GGGGAUCAGGCGACUGGUCGAGCAUCCGGCUUCCAAACCCGGCGAACGAGGUUCGAUUCCUCGGGUCCCCG